AGAACGAACGCUGGCGGCAGGCUUAACACAUGCAAGUCGAGCGCCCCGCAAGGGGAGCGGCAGACGGGUGAGUAACGCGUGGGAAUCUACCCUUUUYUACGGAAUAACGCAGGGAAACUUGUGCUAAUACCGUAUGAGCCCUUCGGGGGAAAGAUUUAUCGGGAAAGGAUGAGCCCGCGUUGGAUUAGCUAGUUGGUGGGGUAAAGGCCUACCAAGGCGACGAUCCAUAGCUGGUCUGAGAGGAUGAUCAGCCACAUUGGGACUGAGACACGGCCCAAACUCCUACGGGAGGCAGCAGUGGGGAAUAUUGGACAAUGGGCGCAAGCCUGAUCCAGCCAUGCCGCGUGAGUGAUGAAGGCCCUAGGGUUGUAAAGCUCUUUCACCG
rnacentral:rRNA from 1 species